rnacentral:rRNA from 1 species
GGACAAUCUGCCCUGAAGUGGAGGAUAAUCCCGGGAAACUGGGGGUAAUACUCCAUAGUUCGUGCUGACUGGAAUGUUAUGCGAACGAAAGAUCCGUCGCUUCAGGAUGAGUCUGCGGCCGAUUAGGUAGUUGUUGGGGUAACGGCCCAACAAGCCUGUCAUCGGUACGGGUUGUGGGAGCAAGAGCCCGGAGAUGGAUUCUGAGACACGAAUCCAGGCCCUACGGGGCGCAGCAGGCGCGAAAACUUUACCAUGCGGGCAACCGUGAUAAGGAAACCCCGAGUGCCAGCACAGGCUGGCUGUCCGCCAGUGUAAAUAACUGGUGAAGAAAGGGCCGGGCAAGACCGGUGCCAGCCGCCGCGGUAAUACCGGCGGCUCGAGUGGUGGCCACUAUUACUGGGCUUAAAGGGUCCGUAGCUUGAUAUGCAAGUCUCUUGAGAAAUCCGCCAGCUUAACUGGUGGGCGUUCAGGGGAAACUGCAUUUCUAGGGACCGGGAGAGGUGAGAGGUACUGCCGGGGUAGGAGUGAAAUCCUGUAAUCCCGGUGGGACCACCUAUGGCGAAGGCAUCUCACCAGAACGGGUCCGACAGUGAGGGACGAAAGCUGGGGGAGCAAACCGGAUUAGAUACCCGGGUAGUCCCAGCUGUAAACGAUGCGCGUUAGGUGUGUCAGUGACCACGUGUCACUGAGGUGCCGAAGGGAAACCGUGAAACGCGCCGCCUGGGGAGUACGGUCGCAAGGCUGAAACUUAAAGGAAUUGGCGGGGGAGCACCACAACGGGUGGAGCCUGCGGUUUAAUCGGACUCAACGCCGGAAAUCUCACCGGAUAAGACAGCUGAAUGAUAGUCGGGAUGAAGACUCUACUUGACUAGCUGAGAGGAGGUGCAUGGCCGUCGUCAGUUCGUACUGUGAAGCAUCCUGUUUAGUCAGGCAACGAGCGAGACCCACGCGAGCAGUUGCCAGCAUGACCUUCGGGUUGAUGGGGACACUGCUCGGACCGCCUCUGCU